CAGGGCUCAGGCCCCACUGCCCCACGGCCAAGUGGACAAUGAAGACGCUCAGCCCGCCAGCAAGGGCUGUGACUCACAGGUUGUGAGGCCAGGCAGGGCCCCAAGCUCAGCCCCCGAGGCCCCAGCCAUUCAACCUGGGCAGUAAAGGGCUCCGAGUUCCGGGGCCCCUUCAGAUACCGGCUCUGCUCCCGGACUCUGGGGACGACCCAAUGGGCCCGUGGGAAGGCAGAAAGGGCCAGGACCAGCUUCUCCUACUAACGAGCCCUAAGGAGGCGAAUGUGGAAAUGACUUGGCAGCAUCUGAGAGGCAGCUUGGAAAACUGGGAAAAGCUCUGGCCCGGGAGGCAAGAGCCACGGGGCUGUCCCAGCUGUGGCUGUGGGUGAGUCACAGCCUGUCCGGUGACAUGGCCCUUAUCUACAAAGGGAGGAGCUCUGGCAAAUGUGUCCAUAGAGCUUUGGCCGCCCCUCCUGCCAAGCAGCCGUCUCUGGAAAUGAGCAUUUGGAAGAUUAGCCCUGACCUAACAUCUGCCACCAAUCCUCCUCUUUUGCUGAGGAAGACUGGCCCUGAGCUAACAUCUGUGCCCAUUUUCCUCUGUUUUACAUGUGGGACGCCUGCCACAGCAUGGCUUGAUAAGCAGUGCAUAGGUCCACAGCCGGGGUUCUGAACCGAAGAACCUCAAGCGCUGAAGUAGAGCACAUGAACUUAACCACUUUGCCAGUGGGCCAGCCCUCAAUAUUUCUAAUUCUUGAUUAUAAAAUGUGAUUGCAGACCUUAGGGCAAAGCUGGUGUGUGCCUCCUACUCUCUCAUCCUGGCCCCACCUGGGCUUUGUUUGCUCUCAGACAAGUCCCUUAACCUCUUCGUAGGGGACCCUUCUCUCUGGAAACUUCCCUCCACUCCCAACCCCUCCCCUCAUGGCCGCAGAGUCAGGAGAAUGGGCCUCUGUGCGAUGCGAUUCCCACUCCUGCCCCCUCACCUGACUCAGCUGGGCCAUCGGACCAUCUCCCGUGAAGACCUGUGCCCGGGUCCAAGGGGCAGCCUGUUAGCCUCCUCAAGGGCCUGGGCCUGUGACUGUUGGCCUUGGACCCAUGGGCAGCCAGCAUCUUUGGCCAAGGGACUGGGUAUCAAAAAGAGCCAUUAUGAAGGGAGAGAAGAAUGAGUUGUAUGUAUGGGAAGAGCAGAAACAAGGAACCCUGGGUUUCUAAAGGCUUUGCAGUGUCUAACUCCAGUCCCUUUCCAAAAAUUGACUACAUGCCUUGGGUUCCAUGAGACACUCCUGCACAGUUAUAACAAAUUCUCCUCCUCUUCCUUUUUUUUUUUUUAACCUAAGCUAACCCAGAAUGGGUUGUACCACUUGCACUUGUAGAGUUAUAACUAAUAUACCCUGUAAAAUAUGAGUCCAAAACAGUUCACAGGAGUAUUAUAAGAAUAAAUUGAGAUAUUUGUAUGAAUAUGCCAUAGAAGUACUAAUGUGAAUUAUCUUACGGUAUUAAUAUUAUUAUUACUA
rnacentral:lncRNA from 1 species